rnacentral:rRNA from 1 species
CCUACGGGAGGCAGCAGUGGGGAAUAUUGGACAAUGGGCGCAAGCCUGAUCCAGCCAUACCGCGUGUGUGAAGAAGGCCUUUUGGUUGUAAAGCACUUUAAGCGAGGAGGAGGCUCUUGAGGAUAAUACCCUUGAUGAGUGGACGUUACUCGCAGAAUAAGCACCGGCUAACUCUGUGCCAGCAGCCGCGGUAAUACAGAGGGUGCGAGCGUUAAUCGGAAUUACUGGGCGUAAAGCGCGCGUAGGCGGCUUGUUAAGUCGGAUGUGAAAUCCCCGGGCUCAACCUGGGCACUGCAUUCGAUACUGGCAAGCUAGAGUAUGGGAGAGGAAGGUAGAAUUCCAGGUGUAGCGGUGAAAUGCGUAGAGAUCUGGAGGAAUACCGAUGGCGAAGGCAGCCUUCUGGCCUAAUACUGACGCUGAGGUGCGAAAGCAUGGGGAGCAAACAGGAUUAGAUACCCUGGUAGUCCAUGCCGUAAACGAUGUCAACUAGCCGUUGGGGACCUUGAGUCUUUAGUGCGCAGCUAACGCGAUAAGUUGACCGCCUGGGGAGUCGGUCGCAAGCUAAAACGUCAAAGGAUUGACGGNUUGAGCGNGCGAGGCGACACGAGGGAGAGG